UACGGGGGGGGCAAGCGUUGUUCGGAAUUACUGGGCGUAAAGGGCUCGUAGGUGGCCAACUAAGUCAGACGUGAAACCCCUCGGCUUAACCGGGGAACUGCGUCUGAUACUGGAUGGCUUGAGUUCGGGAGAGGGAUGCGGAAUUCCAGGUGUAGCGGUGAAAUGCGUAGAUAUCUGGAGGAACACCGGUGGCGAAGGCGGCAUCCUGGACCGACACUGACACUGAGGAGCGAAAGCUAGGGGAGCGAACGGG
rnacentral:rRNA from 1 species